UUUUAACGGCUGCGGUAUUUUGACCGUGCUAAGGUAGCAUAAUCAAUUGUUUUUUAAUUGAAAACUAGUAUGAACGGUUUAAUUUACUUAAUUAGUUUGUAAUUUUUAAUAGUAAGUUAAAUAUAAAGUAAGAAUUCUUUAAUAAAUUAGGGGACGAUAAGACCCUAAAAGCUUUAUGAUUGGCAUUUAAUUGGUGAUAGCGGUGUUAUUAAUUCACUGGGGCAGUGAGUUUAGGUAUAUUUAAGUAUAAUUAAAAGCUCCUUUAAAUAAAGAUUUCAUGUAUAAGUUACUUUAGGGAUAACAGUGCAAUAUAUUUGGGGAGACCAUAUCUAUAAAUAUGAUUGCAACCUCGAUGUUG
rnacentral:rRNA from 1 species